CCCGACGGUGGCCCGCAAAAGGGCAGCACUUCCCUUGCUCUGGACUGGAAAGUGCUUCCCUUUUGUGUGUCACCGCCCGC
rnacentral:pre_miRNA from 1 species